rnacentral:snRNA from 1 species
GGGUGUGAGGGCGAUCUGGCUGCGACAUCUGUCACCCCAUUGAUCGCCAGGGUUGAUUCAGCUGAUCUGGCUGGAUAGGCGGGUGUCCCCUUCCUCCCUCACCGCUCCAUGUGCAUCCCUCCUGAAGCUGCGCGCUCGGUCGAAGAGGACGGCCUUCCCCGAAUAGAGAUGGACUGGUCUUCAGUCGAGGGUAUACGAGUAGCUGCGCUCCCCUGCUAGAACCUCCAAACAAGCUCUCAAGAGGGAAGGUAUAGAUAAAGAUGGAGAGAGACAGAAAGACACCAGCAGCCCUGCU